UCAGCUGGCCGUUCUGUCGCUGUGGCAUGACCACAGAGGAAAGUCCGGGCAACAUAGGGCACCGAGCUUCCUAACAGGAAGAUAUCCGCAAGGGUAUAUGUAGCAGAAGAAAAUAACCGCCAUGCAUUGUGUGGCAAGGGUGAGAAGGUGUGGUAAGAGCACACCGGCGUAUCUGGUGACAGUGCGACCGUGCGAAUCUCGGGUUGAAAGACCAUGUAUAUCGGCGUUUGAGGGCUGCCCGCCCAAUGUCGAGGGGUAGGUCGAUAGAGCCAUCAAGUGAUUGAUGGUCGAGAUAAAUGACAGAGAGCAAUAUUUGCUACAAAACCCGGCUUACAGGUUGGCUGAAAAU
rnacentral:RNase_P_RNA from 1 species